AAACGAAAGAGUUUGAUCCUGGCUCAGGACGAACGCUGGCGGCGUGCCUAAUACAUGCAAGUCGAGCGGAGUUUAGUUGAGUACUUGUACGAGACUGGACUUAGCGGCGGACGGGUGAGUAACGCGUGAGCGACCUGGCCUAUACAGGGGGAUAACAGGGAGAAAUUCCUGCUAAUACCGCAUAAGACCACAGUACUGCAUGGUACAGGGGUCAAAGGAGGAAUCCGGUAUAGGAUGGGCUCGCGUCCCAUUAGCUAGUUGGUGAUGUAAAGGACCACCAAGGCGACGAUGGGUAGCCGACCUGAGAGGGUGACCGGCCACACUGGGACUGAGCCACGGCCCAGACUCCUACGGGAGGCAGCAGUAGGGAAUAUUGGACAAUGGGGGGAACCCUGAUCCAGCAACGCCGCGUGAAGGAAGAAGGUCUUCGGAUUGUAAACUUAUGUUGUCGGGGACGAA
rnacentral:rRNA from 1 species